GAUGAAGAACGCAGCGAAAUGCGAUACUUAAUGUGAAUUGCAAAUUCAGUGAAUCAUCGAGUCUUUGAACGCACAUUGCGCCCCCUGGUAUUCCGGGGGGCAUGCCUGUCCGAGCGUCAUUGCUGCCCUCAAGCACGGCUUGUGUGUUGGGCCCCGUCCUCCGAUCCCGGGGGACGGGCCCGAAAGGCAGCGGCGGCACCGCGUCCGGUCCUCGAGCGUAUGGGGCUUUGUCACCCGCUCUGUAGGCCCGGCCGGCGCUUGCCGAUCAACCCAAAUUUUUUAUCCAGGUUGACCUCGGAUCAGGUAGGGAUACCCGCUGAACUUAAGCAUAUCAAUAAGCGGAGGA
rnacentral:misc_RNA from 1 species